CAUAUCACAACGUUAUAUAAACAAAAUCUAAAAAAGGGUCUCAUUAUCUUAUUAUUAUUGUUAUUUUGAUACAUCAUACAUGGAUCCAUUGAAACAUAUAGCUAGGUAUACCAGUACUCUACCAGCGGAGCCAAGAUCUAGCUGGCUCUGCUUGGAGUAAGAGACAAUGAACCAAUUGAGACCCCUAGAAAGAAAGAAAGAAAAAGCCAAGAAACAUGACUAGAGACAAUGGCAGCCAGCCAAUUCCAUCAUUAUUUAGCGCCAGCAUUCUUUCAGAAUUCAUAUGGAUGAACUUAGGGGCCCAACCUUCUUAAACAAAACCAAGAAAGGUGACAGUUUAUCACUAAGAGACAGAAUUCUACGUCCAUUAUUCUCAAUAUAAAUCCCAAUAUCCCUGCAUAGAACUCCGCAGUGACAAAUGUCUUCAGGACAGUGAACUAGCUUGUAUCCUAUGCCAGCCUUCUCAAUCUUGAACCAGUUGGUUAAUGUAUCAACACCAGGAUUUCCUUCUUCCCCACCCGUUGUCACAAACCAUUGUACCUCCGAGUUGGAAGAUUUCUGAAUCUUCCAGACUGAUGAGUGGUUACAGGCUUUCUUAAUAGAGAACUUGAUGUUAAGAUCAGUAGAAACUCGGAUGACAUCAUCUUCGGAGCUUGCAGGUGAGAAGGUAACCGGAAGACCUUGUAACAGGUCCGACGAGUACUGAAUAACAUCAUCCGGGCAAGUUUUAUUGGUCGCCGAAACAUCCCCGCCUCCAGCCCCCCAGAAAAUAGAACUGAUGAUGUAUUCCGUGCCUGCUUUAAGUUCUUCGCCCUGGAUGUCAAGCACCGGCUCAGUAUAAGCUUCUAUUGACGGCACUGAGAGAACAAAGGCGAAGAGAAGAAAGGAGAACCACACCAACAAUGUAGAUUUCAUUGUUAUUUGAUGUUUUUGAGAUUCUGUUCUUGGAUAUGAAAAACAAUGCCAAGAAGCUUGCAUUUAUAGAGCUGGAACCUGGAAGCUCAACAAUUAUUCAAAUGUCGUUGUCACUAUCUAUCUUUUGUUUUUUCUUACAUUAUGAAAUAAUUUUAUGGAUUUAAACAUCAAACACAAAUUAUUUCGCAGACAUGUUUCGCAUUCUUACAUAGCACGUAGACAUCAUAUCAUUAUUCACAUAUAUGCGGCCAAACCAUACGUGCUCAUGAUAACGACUUAUCCUGUAAAUAAUUGCCAAACUUAUAAUGGACAAAAAAAAAAACUAUGUCAAAAAAUAAAUUAAGUAGCAUUGUUAAAACCGAUUUUGGUUCCUUGGAUGUUUGUAAUAUACAAAUGACAUGAUAGGUUGGCUACCCAAGUUUUAAACUACAUCAGAUUAAAGUUAAUCUUUACAUGAUUUGGUUAACAAAUCAAGUCAAAGAAAUAUCUAAUCAACCUAGUAAAAACUUGAUUUGAUUUAAAUUUUUUUUUUAAAAAUAGCUUUUAAUAUUAUUUUUUAAAUAUUAAAACGAUAAUGUCUUGAAUCGACCCGGGCAACCCACCAAACAUAUAACCUGGUUAGGUCUAAUAAUUUUAUUUUUUGAAAUUACCUUUUCAUUUAACUACAUGAUAAUAAAAAUAAACAUAUGUAAAAAAGCGAUCACAUAAUAAUUUUUUUAAAGAAAAACAAUUAUGAACAAUUGUACAAAAAAGCACAUGUGAAUAUAAUAAAAAAGCUACGAUCAAGUUAAAAAAAAUUAAAAAUUAUAGGUAUUCAAUAAAAAAAAAUCUCAAAUAAAUUGUUAAUUAAUCUAUUUUAAUGGACUUAUAUCAAAAUUGAAAGAAAAAAAAAUACAAAAAAAUAAAUAGGCCAAGCGUGUGGGUUUUGGGUGGUCCAGCAUGCUUGUAUCACAAAGAAAGUUGCCAGGUACGCACACUAGGCUUCCUUUUUAUGUUAAGGGGUGGAUGAUGUAUUGUCGCCUCAUCUUUUAUUUUUUAAAAAUGCAGAUGAUGCGUCAACUUUGUUUCCAUAUUCUACUAUUAAAAAUGUGACAAGAAAAUCAAGUAAUGGUUUUUUCAAUCCAUAAAAUAUUUUUAACCUAAAAACACCUAAUAAAAAGGUUUUAGAACAUCAAUGAACCAAUUUCUCAGCCAAAAACACCUUGGUAAAACAAAAAACACAAAACAUGAUAAGAGAUAUUAAAAAAAAAAACAUCUAAAUGAAACUCCACUUAUGAAUUAGAAUUCAUUGACACCAAGAAUGAUUUUCUUGAUCAUUGUAACGUGGCAACCUUGUGACUCUUUCUCUCUUCUCUUAUUUUUCAAUGACUCCCUCUUUUAUUUCUUUAGUUUAAGGAUUGAAAUAUAAAUACGAAGAAGUUUCGAAACAAAAUGUUAAAACCUCAAAAACAUGAAUUAAAAAAAAACUUUAGGGAUCAAAAAUAUUUAAAUCACACCUUAGCUACAUCCAAAAAAAAUUAAAAAAGGAUGGGAUUUUAUUUUAGUGUCAGUUUUCAUUAUUAGAUUUUUAAUUUUGUUCAAUCAAGAAAAUUGAAUUUAAUUUUACCGAAUCAUCAAUUUAAUAUGAUAACAUUUUCUUAACAUUGCUUUAAACCUUUAUUAAGUUAACCAAAAUAAAUUAUCAAGCACAAUCCUAUAUAAACUAAAUAUGGAAGGACCACAUUGAAAAAUAAAAAAUUAAGUAACCAAAAAAGUAAGAAAAAAAAAUUGUACGAGUCCAAAAUGCAUUCCCUCGUAAUUUUUUUUUUUGUUUUUAAUGUUUUCUUUAAAUAUUAAUGUUUAUCAUUUAUCAUAAAAACCAUGUGGUUUGAACAACAAGUUAUAAAAAGGGCAAAAAGCCAAAGCAAAUACUAAUUUAAAACAUAAAUUACUAUAAAUCCAUGAAUACAAUAAAACUACUAUAUAUACACGAUAAGCAUCUGCAAAAUUGACAAAUAAUAACAAUAAUUAUUAUUGGUGCCAAACAAGUUUUCUGCCACUCCUAAUAUUAUUUUUUAAGUAUAAUGCCAGAGCAUCUUAUCAGCCAGAGUACAGUACUAUUUUUCAGUCGAUACUUAUCCUGUCUGCUACUCAAUAAUUAUAGGAAGGGCACGUCAUCCUUCGUGUUCAUGGAUCUCUUCUACUUUUUUUUUACAUUAUGAAAUAAGUUUGUGAAUUUAAACAUGUUUCGCAUUCUUACAUAGUAUGCAGACAUCAUAUCAUUAUUGUCAAACUAGACGUGCUCAUGAUAACGACUUAUCCUGAAAAUAAUUGUCAAAUUUAUAAUGGAGAAAAAAAGCUAAGUAAAAAGAUAAAUUAAUUAUUAACAUUGUUUAAAACCGAUUUUGGUUCUUCAAAUUUGUAAUACACAAAUGACCUUUAGGUUGUACCCUUUAAUUCCCUACCUACGUUUUAAACCAACUCAUGUUAGAGUUAAUUUUUGUAUAACUUCAAGUUAAAAGAUAGCCCAAACAACCUAAUAAAAACUUGAUUUGAAUAAAAAAUAUCAAAAAAAUAGCUUUUUAAUAUUAUUUUUUAAAUAUUAAGAUGAUAAUAUCUUGAAUCGACCCGAAUAACCUAUCAAAUAUAUAACCUGAUUGGAUCUAACAACUUUAUUUUUUGAAAUUACCUUUUCAUUUAAUUAUAUAAUAAUAAAAAUAAAUACAUGUAGAAAAGUGAUUAAAUAAUUUUUUUAAAAAAAUAAAAGACAUUACAAACGGUUGUAUAAAAAAGCACUUGUGAAUAUAAUAAAAAAUCUAUGAUCUUAGUUAAAAAGUAAAAAUUAAAUGGUAUUCAAUUAUAAAAAUUCUCAAAUAAAUUAUGAAUUAAUAUAUUUUAAUGAACUUAAAUAAAAAUUCAAAGAAAAAAAAUAAAAUAUUAAAAAACAAAUAAGCUAGGCGUGUGGGUUUAGGUGGACUAGCACGCUUGGCUCACAAAGAAAGAAAUUUGGCAUGUGAGCUAGGCUUUCUUUUUGUGUUAAGGGGUGAAUGAAGUAUUGUCGCUCCAUCUUUGGUUUAAGAGUAUGCAAAUGACACUUCAAUUAUAUUUUCAUAUUCCGACUAUCGAAGAGGUGACAAGAAAAUCAAACAAUGGUUUUUUCAAUCCAAAAAAAUAUUUUUAACCUAAAAACACAUAGGUAAAGGGUCUUGGAACAUUAAUGAACUAAUUUCUCAGCCAAAAACACCCCAAAAUUGGUAAAACAAAAAUGCAAAAUAUAGACUUUUAAGCAAUUGGUAGACAAGUAAUUGUGCAUUCUUAUCUAAGGUGAAGCUGACUUUGGCUUUUACAACCUGUGACCUAUCGUAGACCAAUUUUAUAUUUUUUACAGUGACGAAAUAAAUGUAUAUCCAUUCUAGCUUUCAUGUUGGACUUUAUCUUUCCUUUCAUGUUCAUAACCGUGUUAAAUAUUUUUUCAAACAUUUUUUUUUUAAUGUGCAUGACAUCAAGGUUAUGGAUAAGAAAAUUAAUCUUCUAAUAAGAAAACUUUCUAAAAAUACUUUGUUUUACCUAAUUGUAGGUCAAACAUAAGUCACAAAUUCGAAAAACAUUCCAUCAAUUUACAACAAAUAUAAUUUUUUAAAAUCUCAAACAAACCCUAACAUGUAUAAAUCAUACAUUCAUACAACAAAUGUCUAUGUGAAAAAGCUAUAAAACAAGUAAACACACAAAUAAAAUACAUAUAUUACAAAAAUAUACAAUAAAAUUAAUAUUUUAAAAUUGAGUUCAAACAAAAAAUAGUUUGUUUUUCUUAUUUAAUGAGGAGAAUCCUCAAUAAAAUUUGAAUCAGAAUAAGGAUACUAACAGACAUCUAAGUGUUAGGUUGACCGGAUUUGUGUUGAGAGGUUGAUUUGUGAGGGGGGGGUGUGGGGGAUGCUAUUUGUUGCAGUGCUGGGAGGAAGAAGAGAAAUAGGGGAGGGGGAAAGGGGGAGUCACUCUCCAGAUCAUAAAUUAAAUUACCUAUGAAAAUAUGGAUGAAUUUCACCAAUGAGUUAAUUCCGUUGGUAAUUCUAUAGGUAUAAAUGACAUGUCAUUAUAUAUUUUGUCUUUUUUUUUAAUACUUUUUUUUUUCAUUGUAAUUUUCUCGAUAUAUACUAGGAGAAUAUUUCUGUCAGUAUUUACUGAUAGAUACAGUGAGGGACUAUUGUUUCGAUAAAAUUCACUGCAAUCUAUUGAUGGAAAAAUUCCGUUGGUAUUUUUAUUUGUAUUUAAUAAUUUUCUAGUAGUGUAUAUUGGAUCAACUAGGGUUUCACGACCUUAUCAUAACCCAAUUUUGGAUCUUGUAAAAUUAUUUUAUGUAAAAAAUUAUUUUUCUUUUUCUUCAAUAAGAAAAAACCCAAAGAAUAAAAAAAUCCAUGGGAUCUUUUGUAUCAAAAUCCAAUAGUCGAAAUGGACACAUUUAUCAUGUUUCCAUGAAUAAUUCAAACCAAUACUCUCUCCAUCAAAGAUGAUCAAUAUUGCCUAAUUAUCAAUAAAGUCCCAAGACAUAAUAUUUUAUCAAUUAUGGACUUGAACAAUGUUUAGUAGUAUGAUAUUGAUAGAUUAUAUAUGCCAUGCUUAUUAAUUAGGGAAUGCCGUGCUCUCUCAUAGAUGUUUAUCAUUUAUCAUACAAUCCAUGUGGUUUGAACUGCAAGUCAAAAGGUAAAAAGUAGAAUCAAAUACCAAUCAACACAUAAACUAAUAGAGAUGCAUGCAUGGCGUGUACACAAGAUAAGCAUAUGAAAAGUGAAAAAGAAUGUACCCUAAAUUUAUGCGAUCUUUGCUGCCAAAUAUUUUAUCGAUGACCAGGCAAAAAGGACUGGAACUAUAUAUGAUCAUGAUAAUGACUUAUACCUAAAUUUUGCCACUGCUCAGUCCUGUAAUUAAUUGUCAAAUUUAUGAUGAAAAACAAACAAACAAACCAUAAAAAGAAGAAGCAAAAAACUAAUGCUAAGUCAAAAAAUAAAUUAAUUAGCAUAGCAUCGAUCUACAAAAAGAAAAUACUAUCAUAAACCUGUGUACAAAAAAGUAUGGUUCGAUGUGAAAACAAACAACAAAAAUUAAAAUUCAUCAACUUACUUUUAAAUAUAUUUUAUCUUACAAAGUUUAUUUUUGGUCAAUAAGCAAUAACUAAAUUGAAAUUUUAAUUAAAAUGUAUAUACAACACUAAAUCAAAUAACCUAAGAUUUUUUGAAGGUUUUCUGACCAUGAUGGGCACAAGUCGACUGGUAUCUCUAUAGAACUAGAUCUGUAAAUUGUUUUUAACAAAAUUUAUAUAUAAUCUAUUAAAAGUUAUGAGUGUUUCAAUCAAAUAAGUUAGCUAGUAUAAGUUAACCUUUUUUAAUUUUAAAUUAAUCUCAUUAUUUAAUGAAUGUAUCUGCAAAGCUAUCAAUAAGGUCUAGUUAUAAUAGAUUUUGAUGUGAAUGAUCAAAAUCUCCGAAAUCAAUACAUAAAAUAAUUAUAUAUAUUCUUAGUCUUUGUUAGGAUGUUCUAUCUAUGAAGAUCUCUUCAUUUUGUUAAGAUUUUCUAGCUUUAAUAUCAAUGGAGAUGCCUGCAUAUCGAAGUAACUCACCCGGCCUCCUACAAAAUUGAAUCCAUUCUUAAUUUCUCGAAGACCACCUUAAAGGAAGAAUAUUACACUUGCAUCAUGGUCAAGAAAUUAAAUCAUAUCACAACCUUAUAUAAACAAAAUAUAAAAAAAAGGGUCUCAUUCACUGUAGUAGCUUUUUUUUUUCUCUCGCUUUUGUUUCUUCUGUUUUUUACAUAUAAUGUAUUACUGUGCACAUAGUAAAGCACUUGACUUUUUUUUUUCUUUCUUUUAAUGAAUUUUUUUUAUUUAAUUUAGUUUGUUAAUGUGAAAAAAAAAUUAAUUUAGUUAUCAUACUUUCAUUACAUGGAUCUCGGUUUUUUUUCUAUAUUAAGCUGGUUGAGAACUUAGCUUUGUAGCUUUUUUCAAAAAGAAAAAAAAAACACUAUGGAUUACUACAGUGUUUCCCUUGCAUGAUUUUUGUUUAGCUGCAGUGUUUCCCCUACAUGUUUAUUUUUUAAAUUAUCUUUGUUAAAUUUAUUUUUUUAAUAUUGAGUUGGUUGAGAAUUUAGCUUUAGUUUUAGCUUUCCCCAUGUUUUUUCAUUAUAAUUAUUAUUAUAUUGUAUUAUAUUAUAUGACUGUUUUUUUCUUUUUAAUUUUUUUUAAUGAAUUUUUUUUGUUUGAUUUAUUUUGUUAAUGUUAAUUUUUUUUUAUUUAGUUAUCAUAUUUUCAUUAUACGAAUCUCGGGUUUGAUGGGUUAACCUGAUUUGACGAGUUAUUUUUUUCAUUUAGUUUAGUUUGUUAAAAUUAAUUUUCUUUCUAUUUAAUUAUCAGAUUUUCAUGACACGUAUCCUAGGCUUGACGGGUUAACUUGGUUUGAUGGGUUAACCCGGUUAAUUCUGGGUAAACCCGUCAUUUUUUUUUAUUUAGUUAUCAAACUUUCAUGACACAAAUCCCAGGUUUUACGGGAUAACCUGGUUUAAAGGGUUAACCCAAUUAAUUCAAUUUCUUUUUCUUUUAUUCAUUAGUUUUUUCCUUUCUGUUGAUUUUUUUUCUUUGUUUUUUUAAUUAAUCUAUUUAAUUAUCACGCUUUUAUGACACGACCUUAUAGCCAGACCCACAUCCAAUAUUCUUGGGUCUGGUGUUACAGUCAUGCUCACUUAAACUUGGGUCAUGCAAGUUUAAUUUUAUUAUUAAUAUUAUAAAUAUUAUUUUUAGGUCAGGCGUUGCAGCCAAAAUCCCAAGAUUCUUGGGUAUAACUUUGUAGAAAAACCCAAGAUUUUUCAAUUUUUAUUUUUUAAAAUAUUUUUUAUAGAAAAAAAAUAACCCGUGACAUCGCGCGGGUAUCAAAGCUAGUACAAUACACUAAAUGGCGUGGGGGAAUCACUAUUCCCCCCACACAAAGAACUGUGGAUUACAACAGUAAUCCACAAUGCUUUCCUCCUUUUUUUUUUUCUAACUUUUUCUUUCUUUUUUUUGUUUCUUUUCUUCUUCUUUUUUUCAAAUUUACUUUUUUUUUUAACUUUCCUAUUUUUUUUUCUUUUUUUAUUAAUUUUUUUCUUAAAAGUUUUGUUGAUGGGCCAAAUCCCUGGCUAGUUUUUUCAUCAACCUGACCCGAUUCCAGUCCCAGGUCAGCCGAGUCCCGGGUCGAUCCGCCAGACCGGAUUGAGUUUUAAAACUAUGCCUAAUGAGGCAGACGCCACGUUGUCUGAUCUUGCCUAUAUUCUGGCCACGAUAAUGGUUGAAAAAUUAAGGCUUAAGUUUUUUUACUUAAGAACCUAUUUUGAAGCAGGCGAAGCGUCGUUUGAUCUUGCCCAGAUUCCAGCCACCCCACUAGGGUAGCUGGAAAAUCAAAGCUUAAAUUGUUUUGAUCCCAAAACCUAUUUUUCAAUCCAUCUUGACCCAAAACAUUUAUAAAAUACCUUAGAACCAUGAUAAACCCAUCAAUGACCUAAAAAAACCAUUUAAAAAACCAAAAUCAACCCGAGCUUAGAUAUGUUUUUUUAUGAACUUUAAAGGUAAGAAAAACACCUAAUAUGAACUCUUUUCAUUAAAUAAAACCAUUUGACACAAUUAUCGUCUAUUUUGAUAACAUAAAUCGAUGUCAAAAACAUUUUUUUUCUCUGUAAUUGGAAUGUUGUGACUUCUCUCUCAACGAGAAACUAAAAAAUAAUAAAAAUAAACUUUUGUAUAAAAUUUGAAUUUGAAAAAUAUUGAGGUAUUGAAAUUGUAUAGUCUGCGUUCUUUUUGAAGUUUAAGAAUCAAAGUGUAUCUUUUGUAAAACUUGUGGCACGCCACUCAUGUUUGGUACCCUUUUCAUUUCAAUCCUUUAUCUUUCUAUCCCACCCUUUCAUAAAAAAUCAGAAUCAUUUGGUUUUUAAUUAGGACUAAUUCGCUGAAAAAAAGGGUUUAAGGAUAAAAAAAAAAACAAAAAAUUUACACAGUCCAUUCACAAUAAUGUGUGAGAGGAUGAACAAUGCACUUCUACAUAAUAAAAAAGACCCAUGCCUUUUAGUUUUAUACUUGAUAGGCAUAGUUUUUUAUUCAAAUAUCGGUUGCGCUGUAACUACCUGUUUUGUUUUUUACAUUAUUGUUAUUAGAUGAUUUAUUUUAGAAUUUUAGUAAUCACAAGUCUCUACGCCAGAAUCCAGAGGCUCACUGCUAGAAUCCAGCAACUCACUCUCUCUUCUUCCAUAAAAAAAAAAAAACUAAAAAACAAAGUUCAGGAUCAAAUUUGAAUUUUUGAAAAUUAGAGGGACCUUUUUCCUAGUAGAUAAAAAAAAAUUAGGGGGGGAGGUAUAAAAGAACUUUUAAAACAAAUUUCAAAUCCGUCACUCAUUCAAUCUGGUUUUUUCACUUUAGUCUCUUAUAUUUUAAUUUAGCCUUUUCUUUUUUAAAAUAUAAAAUACAAUUGGGUGCUAGUUUAUACUCAUUAGAGUUAAAUCAUGUAAAACAAAAAUUUAAUAACUAAAUUAAAAAAAAUUAUAUUUCAAUCAUAAUAUUAUUAUGAGUAGAUGAACACUAGUAGCAAAAACACCUCUUUUAAUAUCCUUUAAUAAUAAUAAUAAUAUCAUUAAGUACUAUAUCAAAUGGAUUUGUUAUCGGUUAGUUCUCUAAUUUGAAAUCUAUUUUUUUUAAUAUAAUAAUACUUAUAAUAAAAUUCAAGUAAAAGUAAUAAUCACAAAUUAUUCAGCUUAUGAAUUUAAACAUCAAACCCAAAUUAUUUGGCAUACAUGUUCGCCUUUUUACGUAGUACGUAGACAUCAUAUCAUUAUUCACAUAUGGCCAAACUGUAAGUGCUCAUGAUAACGACUUGCACCUAAAUUUUGGCACUGCUCAGUCCUGUAAUUAAUUGUCAAAUUAAUGAUGAAAAACAAAAUGCAAAAAAUAAAUUAAUUAGCGUAGCAUCCAUCAACAAAAACAAAAUACACAUGAAAUUUGUAAAAAGCAUGACAAGUGUACAAAAAAGUAAGAUUCGAUGUGAAAACAAACAACAAAAACUGAAAUUCAUCAAGUAUAUUUUAUCUUACCAGGUAUAUUUUUGGUCAACAAGCAAUAAUUGAGAUAUAUGUGUUGAUUUGAGUUUUAAUUUAGUGAGUUAUUAUUUUUUAUUUGGAAAUGAAGUUUUAAUUAAAAUGUAUAUACAAACUAAAUCAAAUAAUCUAAAUUUUUUUUAUUGAAGGUUUUUUUAUUUUUAUGGACACAAUCCAACAAUCAAAUUGAAAAUGAUAGGUGUUUCAAUCAAAUAAGUUAUUUGACAUGACUAAACCUUAUUUUAGUCUUAAAUUAGUCUCAUUAUUUUAUGAAUGUUUCUGUUAACUUAUCAACUAAGGUGUAGAUAUAAUAGAUUUUUAUACAAUUUUGAAUUUCAUAAAAUUAUUUUAUAUAAAAAAUUACUUUUCCCUUUUUUUUUAUUAAAAAAAUCCAAAGAAUAAAAAAAUCCAAUUUUUUUUAAAAUCCAAUAGUCGAAAUGGACAAAUUUAUCAGGUUCCCAUGAAUAAUUCAAACCAAUACUCUCCAUCAAAGAUGAUCAAUAUUGCCCAAAACAUAAUAUUUUAUCAAUUAUCGACUUGAACAAUGUUUAGUAGUAUGAUAUUGAUAGAUUAUAUAUGCCAUGCUCCCUCAUAAAUGUUUAUCAUUUAUCAUACAAUAUCCACUCCUAUAGUAUAUAGUUUUUUUUUUUUUUUAUCACUACACUGAUGUCCUGUCCUGGUAUAUUUAUCUCCACACUUAAAACACCGUCCAAGUCUUUUUCUUUGCCCAUACAAGUAAUUCGAAGGAUGUUUUAAAGAUUUAUUAUUGGAAUGAUUAAAAGUUUUGACUGAAAAAUUACAUGUUGGUCUUCCAUUAUUGAAAGGAGGACUGAUUCUUUACAUGAUUUUGCUCAUUUUUUUUUUAGUUUAACAUGGGUGUCCGGGCCAGCAUGCGCGCACCUCGACUAAUCCCACGGGCCCUGAAGUUAACGACCAUGUAAGCCUUCAAUGGCCAUCAUAUAAGCAACCCAGAGCUCGAACCUGAAACCACAGAAAAAACAAAUCUUUUGGUCCCAAGCUCUUAUUAUUGGACCACUACCUAGAUGGUUAUGAUUUUGCUCAUUCAUGACAUGAUUUGACUCCACCUGCCAUUAAUUUUUCUAUUCAAAAGCCAUCAAUAUAUUACCUAGCCUUAAAAUCUUUAACAUUGAUCUAAUAUCAUCUUUUGAUCAAAUGAUGAAACUGGAAAUAUAAUAUAAUUCAAGCAGUAAAGGAUUUUAUGCAUUUGUCAAAGUUUUCAGCUCCUCUUAACUUUUCCACGUAGCCUUUUGCACUUCUUUCCUGUACAAGCUUGUUGAGCUCUUCUAAUUGUAGAUGGCUUUGGAGAAUUCAUCCAAAUUAAUUAACCAAAUAUUCAUGUCUACAAACAUACCCUUUAUACCAUACUUAUUCCUUACCAUCAAGAUAGUAUGAAGCUAACUCUACCCAUUGAUGUGCAAGAACAAGGUUAAGCUUGAAAUAUUUCUUGCAUCUCCUUACUAAUUCGGCAAGAGCUUUGCAAAUCAACCAUUGACAGUGUUGGGUUAUACUCCAUUUUGUGUUGCUCCUAACUUGCCAUUAAUUUUUUAAUUUUAAAUUAAUCUCAUUAUUUAAUGAAUGUAUCUGCAAAGCUAUCAACAAGGUCUAGUUAUAAUAGAUUUUGAUCUGAAUGAUCAAAACCUCUGAAAUCAAUACAUAAAACAAUUAUAUAUAUAUUCUUAGUCUUUGUUAGGAUGUUCUGUCUAUGAAGAUUUCUUCCUUUUGUUGGGAUUUUCUAGUUUUAACAUCAAUGGAGAUGCCUGCAUACCGAAGUAACUCACCCGGCUUCCUACAAAAUUGAAUUCAUUUUUAAUUUCUCGAAGACCACAUUAAAGGAAGAAUAUCACACUUGCGGUCACGAGAUUAAAUCAUAUCACAACGUUAUAUAAACAAAAUAUAUAAAAAAAGGGUCUCAUUAUUUUUUUAUUAUUGUUGUUGUUAUUUGAUACUUGAUCAUACAUGGAUCCAUUGAAACAUAUAGCUAGGUAUAUCACUAUACCUGCAGAGCCAUGAUCUAGCUAGCUCUGCUUGGACUAAGAGACAAUGAACCCAUCGAGACCCCUAGAAAGAAAGAAAAAGCCAAGAAACAUGACUAGAGGCAAUUGCAGCUAGCCUAUUCCAUCAUUCAUAUGGAUGAACUUAAGGGCCCAACCUUCUUAAACACAACCAAGAAAGGUGACAGUUUAUCACUAAGAGACAGAAUUCUACCUCUAUUACUCUCAAAAUAAAUCCCAACAUCCCUGCAUAAACCUACGGAGGGACAAAUGUCUUCAGGACAGUAAACUAGCUUGUACCCUAAUAUGCCAGCACCUUUCUCAAUCUUGAACCAGUUGGUAAAUGUAUCACAUCCAGGAUUUCCU
rnacentral:lncRNA from 1 species